rnacentral:tRNA from 1 species
UGCCCGAUAGCUCAUUUGGUAGAGCACCUGAUUAGAGAUUUAGGGGCCCGGGUUUGAAUCCCGGUCUGGUCU